rfam:TPA: Bos taurus chromosome 1, whole genome shotgun sequence.
UCCCUGAUGGUCCAGUGGUUAAGACUCCAAGCUUCCAUUGCAUGGGGCCCGGGUUCAAUUCCUGGUCAAGGAA